rnacentral:rRNA from 1 species
UACGUAGGGGGGCAAGCGUUGUCCGGAAUUAUUGGGCGUAAAGCGCGUGUAGGCGGCUCGAUAAGUCUGCUGUGAAAGUCCAGGGCUCAACCCUGGGAUGCCGGUGGAUACUGUCGAGCUCGAGUCCGGAAGAGGCGAGUGGAAUUCCUGGUGUAGCGGUGAAAUGCGCAGAUAUCAGGAGGAACACCAAUGGCGAAGGCAGCUCGCUGGGACGUGACUGACGCUGAGACGCGAAAGCGUGGGGAGCAAACAGG